CUCGCCUUUAAUCAGGAACACGACUUCUACGUGAUGAAUUCUAGGUUUCGUCUGGUUUUCCAAGGUCCGAAUCGUUCUACCAACAAUGGCGGCUCUAAGAUGGCGUGUGACUCGACGUUUUGAGAGAUCUCAAAUUCAAUGAAUCUUAUCCAUCUUCAAUCGGUGAUCCUCAACUAUAAAAAGGUUGUUUGUUGUUCAUCUACGGUGGAGGUGGCGCGACCGCGCCGAUUCUGGGAAGCAGGAAACGUGGUGGCGAGUUGAUGGGUUUAGACUCCUCCUCGACGCUAAGGUUGUUUCGUUCUUUGAACCAUAAUCAUAGUAAUUUUAAAACAAAUUCCGGCAUACAAACUCAAAAAAAUCUGCUAUUCUCACUAUAAAUAGUUGGUCCAGUCUUUCGGAUAUUGUUUCAGUUAUGUCUGUUGGUUUUUCAUCUUCCUAUUUACAUGUGUUUCAGGUGAUUAUAACACCAGCCACCGUGAAUGUCAACCGUCUGACCACUUUCAGAGAUCGCCUGAAGGCUGGAUCAAUUUUCUCUGCCACCGGAUUUGAUGUCACUCGGUGCAACAUAACUUCAGACUCCCAUGACUCUCCUCUAGCGAUUCGAUUCGUUGAUUCCACCGCUCUCGAUGAGUUAACCGAACUCAAGACCCCAAUUCCUGAAGAACGGCUCAGGUUCCGUGAUCACCGUGAGCUGCUUGGCCUAGCCAACACUAACACUCAUCUUCCAGGUAAAUCGUCUUACUAUCGGUUUCUCCUACUCAUUUCUCUAACCAGUGCACUGUUUAGAAAUUAUAUAAGAAGCUGCUGUAAACAUAUAGAGGGCUCAUGCCAAAGAAACUACCUCGCAUUUCCACGGAUUAUGAGCGACUAUAUUUUGAUUCAGCUGGCUGUGAUCAUUGAAAGGGAACAUAUGUUCAAACUUUGAUCCAACGAGUGUUGUUUUCAUUCAGUUGAUCAAAUAUAAGCUCUCAAUAAUGUUUUUAUUCUCGGGGUGUGAUGAUAACAGUAAGCAAACCAGAUUGAGGAGGUGGUGAAAUUGAUCAGCAAACCAGAUUGAGGAGUUAAAGACGCAAUCAUACCAAGCCAGUAUUAAAAGGUAACGUUCUGGUGAAAACAUUAAAAGAGCUUGGGAUUUUCUCUCUCGGAGAUGCAAUUGAUUGUUGCUGCACGCUACGCUUUGUAAAAGAAGACAUCUUUGUCAUGUGAUAACUAUCUUUGUCAAUUCGUUUUGUAAUUCUAUGCAUCGAUGGAUUGUUUCUUAACUUUUUAAUUCGCUUUUGUAUAAUUUUAUCAGACCAAGAUCUUGCUCA